GACGAACGCUGGCGGCGUGCCUAAUACAUGCAAGUAGAACGCAGUUGCGAACGGGUGAGUAACGCGUAGGUAACUGCCUGGUAGCGGGGGAUAACUAUUGGAAACGAUAGCUAAUACCGCAUACUACCAGCUGGACCUGCGUUGUAUUAGCUAGUUGGUGGGGUAACGGCUUACCAAGGCGACGUUACAUAGCCGACCUGAGAGGGGUACCCGCCACACUGGGACUGAGAAACGGCCCAGACUCCGACGGGAGGCAGCAGUAGGGAAUCUUCGGCAAUGGACGGAAGUCUGACCGAGCAACGCCGCGUGAGUGAAGAAGGUUUUCGGAUCGUAAAGCUCUGUUGUAAGAGAAGCGGUAUCUUACCAGAAAGGGACGGCUAACUACGUGCCAGCAGCCGCGGUAAUUC
rnacentral:rRNA from 1 species